rnacentral:snRNA from 1 species
AUAUCUUUCUUAGCCUUUUGGCUAAUAUAAAGUGCAGUAUAUGCAAUUUAAUAUCUGGUUGUGGGCCAUAUGUUCACUUUAAUUUUAAGUUUAUUUUUUGUAAUCCAUCACACUAGCUUGGAUCCAUCACCCUGGCUUGUCACUCGACCCUCGGGUGUCGUACAACUG